GAUGAACGCUGGCGGCGUGCCUAAUACAUGCAAGUCGAGCGAACGUCAUAGAAGCUUGCUUCUAUGACGUUAGCGGCGGACGGGUGAGUAACACGUGGGCAACCUGCCUGUAAGACUGGGAUAACUUCGGGAAACCGAAGCUAAUACCGGAUAGGAUCUUCUCCUUCAUGGGAGAUGAUUGAAAGAUGGUUUCGGCUAUCACUUACAGAUGGGCCCGCGGUGCAUUAGCUAGUUGGUGAGGUAACGGCUCACCAAGGCAACGAUGCAUAGCCGACCUGGGAGGGUGAUCGGCCACACUGGGACUGAGGCACAGCCCAGACUCCGACGGGAGGCAGCAGUAGGGAAUCUUCCGCAAUGGACGAAAGUCUGACGGAGCAACGCCGCGUGAGUGAUGAAGGCUUUCGGGUCGUAAAACUCUGUUGUUAGGGAAGAACAAGUACGAGAGUAACUGCUCGUACCUUGACGGUACCUAACCAGAAAGCCACGGCUAACUACGUGCCAGCAGCCGCAGUAA
rnacentral:rRNA from 1 species